rnacentral:misc_RNA from 1 species
GGUGAUGGGGACAAAGAUUUGAGGCCACUAAAUCAUCGGCUUCACAACGGGAAGAAGAGAGUUAAGGAUGGAGUUGUGAGCGAGGAGCAAAAUUUAGCUGAAUAUCAUGGUUUGGAAGUCAAUGGCAUUGCUGAAAACAUAAAAGAUGGGCAUGGAGGGGCUCCCCAGCCCCCUGCAGCUGCACUGCAAAUUGCGCAGCAACAACAGUCUCAAGGAUCAAUAGUUUGUUGGGAGAGGUUUCUCCA